rnacentral:rRNA from 1 species
UACGUAUGGGGCGAGCGUUGUUCGGAAUUAUUGGGUGUAAAGGGCGUCUAGGCGGGAGAUUAAGUUAGAUGUGAAAGGCGUGGGCUUAACCCACGAAUUGCAUCUAAAACUGGUUUUCUUGAGUUCGGGAGAGGAGAGCGGAAUUCUUGGUGUAGCGGUGAAAUGCGUAGAUAUCAAGAAGAACACCAGUGGCGAAGGCGGCUCUCUGGCCUAGAACUGACGCUGAAGCGCGAAAGCGUGGGUAGCGAACGGGGAUUAGAUACCCCCGUAGUCCCUCGAG